rnacentral:rRNA from 1 species
GACGAACGCUGGCGGCGUGCUUAACACAUGCAAGUCGAACGGAAAGGCCCUGCUUUUGUGGGGCGCUCGAGUGGCGAACGGGUGAGUAACACGUGAGUAACCUGCCCUUGACUUUGGGAUAACUUCAGGCAACUGGGGCUAAUACUGGAUAGGAGUUCCUGCUGCAUGGUGGUGGUUGGAAAGUUUCGGCGGUUGGGAAUGGACUCGCGGCUUAUCAGCUUGUUGGUGGGGUAGUGGUUUACCAAGGCUUUGACGGGUAGCCGGCCUGCGAGGGUGACCGGCCACCGUGGGACUGAGGUACGGCCCAGCCUCCUACGGGAGGCAGCAGUGGGGGAUAUUGCACAAUGGGCGGAAGCCUGAUGCAGCGACGCCGCGUGCGGAAUAGCGACCUUCGGGUUGUAAACCGCUUUCGCCUGUGACGAAGCGUGAGUGACGGUACUGGGUAAAGAAGCACCGGCUAACUACGUG